UUACCAGGUCUUGACAUCCCCGCGAUGCUUUAGAGAUAAAGCGGAGGUAUUCGGGGAGACAGGUGGUGCAUGGUUGUCGUCAGCUCGUGUCGUGAGAUGUUGGGUUUAAGUCCCGCAACGAGCGCAACCCCUAUUGCUAGUUACCAUCAUUAAGUUGGGGACUCUAGCGAGACUGCCAGUGAUAAACUGGAGGAAGGUGGGGAUGACGUCAAAUCAUCAUGCCCCUUAUGACCUGGGCUACAAACGUGAUACAAUGGCUGGAACAAAGGGAUGCGAAGCAGUGAUGUGGAGCGAAACCCAUAAAAACAGUCUCAGUUCGGAUUGAAGUCUGCAACUCGACUUCAUGAAGUCGGAAUCGCUAGUAAUCGCGGAUCAGAACGCCGCGGUGAAUACGUUCUCGGGGUUU
rnacentral:rRNA from 1 species